CGGAACACGUACAGAACCUUCCUUCGAGUGGGGGAUAGCCCGAAGAAAUUCGGAUUAAUACCCCAUAGUAUUAUAGAGUGGCAUCACUUUAUAAUUAAAGAUUUAUUGCUUGAGGAUGGCUGUGCGCCUGAUUAGGUAGUUGGAGGGGUAACGGCCCACCAAGCCUGCGAUCAGUAACUGGUGUGAGAGCACGACCAGUCACACGGGCACUGAGACACGGGCCCG
rnacentral:rRNA from 1 species